rnacentral:tRNA from 1 species
GGGCCGGUAGCUCAGUUUGGGAGAGCGCAUGGUUCGCAAUCAUGAGGUCGGGGGUUCGAUCCCCCCUCGGUCCA